UGAUGCGAUCAUACUAACACUAAAGCAUUGGAUCCCAUCAUAAUUUUAAAGUUAAGUGUGCUUGGACAAGAAUAAUACUAUGACGGGUGAUCUCGGGAAGUCUUUGUGUUGUACUUU
rnacentral:rRNA from 1 species